CAGUCGCCGCGGGAAUACGAAGGGGGCUAGCGUUGUUCGGAUUUACUGGGCGUAAAGCGCACGUAGGCGGAUCUUUAAGUCAGGGGUGAAAUCCCGAGGCUCAACCUCGGAACUGCCUUUGAUACUGGAGAUCUCGAGUCCGGGAGAGGUGAGUGGAACUGCGAGUGUAGAGGUGAAAUUCGUAGAUAUUCGCAAGAACACCAGUGGCGAAGGCGGCUCACUGGCCCGGAACUGACGCUGAGGUGCGAAAGCGUGGGGAGCAAACAGGAUUAGAUACCCCAGUAGUCCCUGUCUCUUAUAC
rnacentral:rRNA from 1 species